UUGUGCUAGGUGGGGAGCUAGCGGUGCCCUAUUCCCGAAAUCCGCUUUAUGCGGGGCUGAAUUCCCUUCCGAGGAUUACGCCGAAAGCAGUGCAGUCUGCCGACCGGCCGCCGCGCAACAAACGGUCGCGAACCUCGUCAGGUCCGGAAGGAAGCAGCGAUAAGUGAUGCGGUUUGUGUCGCGGAUCGAUUCCGGUUUAUGCGGGCUGACCUGCCCAGGCCGAUUCGAAGAAGGGUGCACAA
rnacentral:SRP_RNA from 1 species